UACGGAGGGUGCAAGCGUUAAUCGGAAUUACUGGGCGUAAAGCGCACGCAGGUGGCUGAGUCAGUCGAUUGUGAAAUCCCUAGGCUCAACCUAGGAACUGCACUCGAAACUGCGUUUCUUGAGUACCGGAGAGGAAAGCGGAAUUCCUGGUGUAGAGGUGAAAUUCGUAGAUAUCAGGAGGAACACCAGUGGCGAAGGCGGCUUUCUGGACGGUAACUGACGCUGAGACGCGAAAGCGUGGGGAGCAAACAGG
rnacentral:rRNA from 1 species